GCCAGCAGCCGCGGUAAUACGGGGGGUGCGAGCGUUAAUCGGAAUAACUGGGCGUAAAGGGCACGCAGGCGGUGACUUAAGUGAGAUGUGAAAGCCCCGGGCUUAACCUGGGAAUUGCAUUUCAUACUGGGUCGCUAGAGUACUUUAGGGAGGGGUAGAAUUCCACGUGUAGCGGUGAAAUGCGUAGAGAUGUGGAGGAAUACCGAAGGCGAAGGCAGCCCCUUGGGAAUGUACUGACGCUCAUGUGCGAAAGCGUGGGGAGCAAACAGGAUUAGAUACCCUGGUAGUCCACGCUGUAAACGAUGUCGAUUUGGGGGUUGGGCUUUAAGCUUGGCGCCCGUAGCUAACGUGAUAAAUCGACCGCCUGGGGAGUACGGCCGCAAGGUUAAAACUCAAAUGAAUUGACGGGGGCCCGCACAAGCGGUGGAGCAUGUGGUUUAAUUCGAUGCAACGCGAAGAACCUUACCUACUCUUGACAUCCAGA
rnacentral:rRNA from 1 species